CGACAACAAGGGUAAUAUUCUCACAUAUGAACAAUUUAUAACAUUGAAAGAGUUUCCAAUACCUUUCAGAGAGUUUAUUUCUGUGAUCAAAGCCGUUCCCAGUGGUCUAACUACACUAAUGAAAACUCAUCUUAGCAUUGUAAAUGAUUACAAAAUGUAUCCAGAACUCAGAGUAUUUUCUUGUUUAUACCUGUUUUUGUUUUGUUAGACAUGUUUGAUGUAGCAAGAAAUCUCAACUAGCAAGCAAGUCGCAGCAAUGAAGAACGCGAAGAAGGGGAUAAUUCUGGCAGAGGGGAGAUUUUUGCUAGUCAGUCAGCUGACAACUCGCUAGUUGUCCUAUCAACUUAGUGCUGCAAAUCAGGGCAGUGACACUUUGGCAUGGCCUAAGUUACUGAAGAUUGAAAGACAGGAGUUUGUUCCUGCGUGAGCAGAGCAGCUCUGCCCUCACCCAUGGCCCUGCCACAUCCGCAAAGAUCCCCAGCCACCCCAGGGUUUCCCAGCCCUCUCAGCAGGGGCCAGGCUUCUCCAAUGAGCACAGGAGGGGCUGCAGAUGGACCAGGCCUUGGACCGGUCCUCGUAGGGCAAGCCGUGUCCAGCUGUUCUUCCCUGCUCCCUCCCUGUCCUCUGGGACUGAGUGGGAUACUACCCACCCACCUUCUUGGUCACACUACCUGAGUGGCUUCAGCCUAAGUGGGGUCAGUGCUCUCAGUACUCCCUUCUUCAGUUCAGCCUGGAGACAAGCUCCAGCCUCCACCUCCAGGGCCACUCCCUCGGAGCAUCACUCUGCUCAGAGAGCAAGUCUGGGGAAUUUCAUGCUGUCCCCUCCAGAACUUCAGCACCAACACAGUCCCAGACCGGGGGUCCAUCAGCAGCCGAAGGAGGAGCGCCAAGAUGGGGAUGGGAGGGCAGGGGAGGCAGGGUGGUGGGUUCCAGACUGAGAAGGAGGUCCAGGGAGAUCCGAUGGUGGUGGGAAGGAGGAGGUAAUAAGAUAGGGGACCCAACGCUGUUCCAGCUCAACUACAACAACCUGGAAGACUUCCCACCUAUGGGAACGUUGCACGCCUCACCACCUAGACUGCAGACAGAACCAUCACGGAGGAUCAACCCAAACCCAGUCAGUGCAGAGCGGCCUCACUCCAGACCGAAGACUUUCACUUCCACCCCGUUCAGCACCAGAAUGGUAAUGUCCUGACCCCACCAAAGUCACCGUGACCUCUGAACUGGACCUUCUGAAUGACCUCUACUGCAGAAAAUCUGGUUCCCAAUGUGUUCCUGGAGCUGUUCUUUGUGCUACAGCUGCUGAUGUCUAGAACACCAUCCGUCACAGAGUAAGAGGAGGAAGAUCUAAGUAUAGAGAUGUCAGAUGUCCUGGAAAGAGGUUACUACAGAAAUAUGCACAACUGUGUCUACUUCUCUGUCAGGGUGCUGGAGAAUCAGUUUGAGGCCACCCAGGUGUGGGAGCUGGUCCAUGGUGGAGAGAGGUUGCUGAGGGAGGGGCUGAUCUCACCAGUGGCCAACCCUCUGAAACACAAGGACUCCAUCUGUGCUCAGCUCUGUGACGUGGAGCCAGCAGGCUCUGCCGAGAGAUACCAGCCUCUUAUGUAUCUUCAGGUUCUGCAGUGUGAAAGGUUUGGAAGACUUCAGGGUGUUCCUUCCUGAUGAAACUUCUCCUGCUAUUCUCACCACGUCUGAGAACAUCAAGUCUCGUCCCAGCUCAGUGCCCUCAGAGACUGGUGGUGUGGGUGGGGCCGAGGCUAAGACUGGAAGUGGGGCCGGCGCUGCGACGGCACCCAGGAACAGGCACGGACACCAAGACAGGAAAAGGCAAGGAGGUUUUGACGUUAUUAUGGUGAUGAUGGUUAUUAUGGUGAUGAUCGUUAUUAUGGUGAUGAUGGUUAUUAUGGUGAUGAUCGUUAUUAUGGUGGUGAUGAUGAUGAUGGUUAUUAUGGGGAUGAUGAUGGUUAUUAUGGGGAUGAUGGUUAUUAUGGUGAUGAUGGUUAUUAUGGUGGUGAGGAUAGUUAUUAUGGUGAUGAUGGUGGUGAUGGUUAUUGUGGUGGUGAUGAUGAUGGUUAUGGUGUUGAUGGUUAUUAUGGGGAUGAUGGUUAUUAUGGUGUUGAUGGUUAUUAUGGGGAUGAUGGUUAUUAUGGUAAGUAUGGUUAUGGUGUUGAUGGUUAUUAUGGUGAUGGUGGUUAUUAUGGUGAUGAUGAUGAUGAUGGUGGUUAUUGUGGUGAUGAUGAUGGUUAUUAUGGUGAUGAUGGUUAUGGUGUUGAUGGUUAUUGUGGUGGUGAUGAUGAUGGUUAUUAUGGUGUUCAUGGUUAUUAUGGUGUUGAUAUUUAUUAUGGUUAUGAUGAUGAUGGUGGUUAUUAUGGUGAUGAUGGUUAUUAUGGUGGUUGGGUUAUUUUACCAUAACAAUAUAACAGCAUUACCAGUAUAUUACCAGUAUAUUACCAUAACAAUAUAACUAUUACCUGUGGUUUCCCCCAGAUCAGAGCCAUCCAUGUUCUUUGUCAUGUGCUUCUUUGCAGUGGAACAACUUCCUGUUCCUUGUCAGACAGCUGGUAGAGAGGGAGAUUCUGGCAGAGGAGGAAGUGGUCCCAGUUACCCUGGCUAACAGAGUUCAUUGAGAAGAUUCAGCAGGAGUCUAUCCCCACUUUCUCCUCCUCUUCCUCUUCUAUGCCUCUGUUACAGUCUUCUUCUGCCCACACCUCCUCCUCCUCCUAUUCUCUACCAAUGCCUGAGUUCUACAACCACGUGGACAUCCUGCAGGUCUCACUGCAACCUGUAGAGGGAGCCAACUGACCGCACAGACAGGCAACGGACAAAAAAUAUCUCUGUUGGCCAACAAUGCCCAGUCUUUUGAGUGAAAGGCUGACAGUAACAGGUGUAGCUGAACUAAUGUACUCUGACCAGACCCUGUUGGGAUUCCAGAUUCCUGAGACAGGAAACAUUACGUCCCUGUAAUGUGGUUGGCUGGCACAGCCCUUAUUGUCCUGUCUAGAGUUGCAUAGGGAACCAGAAAGUCCUACUGACCAGGACUGGUGGUGCCACAAACCAGGGUUUAUCAUGGAGGUCGACUUUGCAUUCUGAUUGAAGGUGAGGGGUGCAUUAUCAAUAAAGGGAUAAUGACAUACUUGAUGGACCAGCACUUUUAAAAAAUGAACAGAAAAAACACAAAGAAAACCAAAUCCUCUGAAAAAAAAUAAGCCCAAAUCCCAAAUCCAUGUCCAUGUUUCACUGUGUGAGAGUACAAUACCUUAGACCUGCUAUACUGUCCAUGUUUCACUGUGUGAGAGUACAAUACCUUAGACCUGCUAUACUGUCCAUGUUUCACUGUGUGAGAGUACAAUACCUUAGACCUGCUAUACUGUCCAUGUUUCACUGUGUGAGAGUACAAUACCUUAGACCUGCUAUACUGUUUCACUGUGUGAGAGUAUAAUGCCUUUGACCUUAACUGGUGAUUGCUUUCAUGGAUGCUUUCUGUGCAUUUGUGAUAAAAAGUUUUGUUCAUGUUGGACUUCAAGUAUUAUGAUUGUCUGCUGCUUUAAAACUGUACAUUUUUUAUGCUGCAUGUCACAUAGUGAAAUACAAUAAAUAUAUAUUAUUUAGAGCAAAAACA